rfam:Schistosoma rodhaini strain Burundi genome assembly, scaffold: SROB_scaffold0000530
AUUCACCUGACGAGUCCAAAAUAGGACGAAAUGUGCAUCUCGGAU